CCCUACACACACACUCCUCUAUCUAACUACACACACACCUCUCUCUCUCCCCACCUGCCCUACACACACCACUCCUCCACUGCCUCACCUCUCUCUCUCCCCACCUGCCCUACACACACCACUCCUCCACUGACCAAGCCCCCCACCCCAUGUUUGAGGAAAUGAUGCCAACUCCUCCAGAUACUGACGGACACCCCGGUCAACUGAUCCCCACCACACACCAUACUACUCUGGGGUUGAUCUGGCUGACUGUUGGGGUUUGUCUGGAAGUCUGUACUAUACAGUGUGAGUGGUUUCUGUCUAAAGAGAUGUGUAUGUGUGUGUGAGUGGUUUCUGUCUAAAGUGGUUUCUGUCUAAAGAGAUGUGUGUGUGUGUGAGCGCUAUUACUACAUUGUGUUUGUGUGUGUGUGUAUAUUGGCAGGACUGUUACCAGACUGAUCCAUGCAAAUAUCCAAUCUCCUUCCCAAAUUGCACCCUAUUCCCUAUAUAGUGUACUACGUCUGGUAGUGCACUAUAACUUUUGGUAGUGCCCUAUAGAGGGAAUAGGGUGCCGCUGUGGGAGGCUGUCGUUGUAACAUCUGUUGUUAAACUGAUCGUUGGAUUGAAUCAUUUUUCUUCUUUUGUUUUUGUUGUUGAAAAAAAACCCUUUUAGUUCUAAAAAUGUACAUUUGGUUGUUUGUUUUCUCUGCUCUGUUGGUUGGCCUUCCGUUACUAGGCAACCGAUCCAUCCAUGUCGUUUGACAUGAACGAACGAUCCGAGACAACCUGAGCUUGAUGAAUCAGACAUGGAAUUUAUUUUUCUCUCGGAUUCAGAAAAAAUAAGAAAAUGAAAGAAAUACAGACAAAAACAAGGAAAGGGUGUUUCCUGUUUCCUGUUUCCUGGUGACUGAAUGUUUAUGUGGGAGCUAAAACCUUUUUACUUUCUUUACGUUUUGAAUACUUCCUAUUUUUCUCUCUUUUUAUCUUGAGAAUACAUUGACCCUAACCUCAUACGACCAUCCUGAUAUCACACGCUUACAAUCUGUUUUGAAUACAUCCUAUUUUUCUCUCUUUUUAUCUUGAGGAUACAUUGACCCUAACCUCAUACGACCAUCCUGAUAUCACACGCUUACAAUCUGUUUUGCUACACGGAUGAAAUGAAGUGAGACCAACUGAGAGCUCAGCGGUCAGGAUGGUCAUCUGAGGCUACAUUCACACAGCCGAUGAGGACAGUAUGGCAGACAUUUUGAGAAGUGGCUACAUACGUAGGCUACGUUUACAAGCUCGCUGUGUUCUCAACCGUGGUGACGUCCAGCAUUAACAGACUCAUGGAGCCGGGGUGAAGUUUCCCCUUAAUGCUGAUCCUGGGGCAGCUUAGCAUUUUCCCCACUAACGGUUAAGGUUAUGAUUGAGGGAGGUCAAGCUGAUCCUAGAUCUGUACCUAGGGGAAACUUCACCCCGGCGCUAGUUGAUCUUUAAGGUCGCAAAAGCUGUUUUCGGGUAACGCUGCACAACAUUUGUGAUCUUGAACAGAGCCCUGCACAAGAGAUUUAUCUGAGGACCCUCGUAUUAAAGAUGGAUAAACAAACAAAUUAUGCAACGUUUUCUUUUCUCUCUUUAUUUUGACGGUAGGAUUCUCUCUCUUCCUCUCUAACUCCUGUAGCUAGUAGUGUUAUUUGUCUGUUUGUCUUUUAAAAAUAAACUUUUGUUUUCCUACUCCUCACUU